rnacentral:tRNA from 1 species
UGGCUCAGAUGGUAAAGCGUCUGCCUACAAUGCGGAAGACCCAGGAUCAAUCCCUGG